CUGAGACAGAGGAAGCAGAAAAAGAACAUCAGGAAGAGAAUAAUCAUCAUGAACAAAAGACUGAUAAGCAAAGAAGUGUUGAAGACAUGAAGGAAGAAACCAACAAACAGCAAAGCGAUCAAAGUCUUUCAACCAAAAAUGGAGAAAAUAAACCUG